CGGCAGAAAACUUCCACUAUCAAAUUGAUUCUUUCCCCAAUAGCCAUGUUUUUCUAAGGAUUUCCCAUAAACCCCAAUAAGUGCUUUAUAGUGAAUUUAGCACUAAUCUAUUUCUUUGGAAAGUCAGAAUAUAUCUAGUUGGCCUCGUGACUUUCUUUCUUUAACUUAACUAUUGACUUUCAUUCUAAGACUUCUGAUCCGGGUCCUUGCUUCCUUACCUAUUAGCCUACCGUUCCUCUAGCUAAGCCUUACUUUCUUUGCUUGAAGUAUGGUUCCUCUGCUAAUCAGAAUAGAGUGAACUGGCAAACAGGCUCGCUACCCACGCCACCGAUCUGGAUCUAUUAUCUUAUUACUAAGGUGCUGAAAGCCCACUGCUGAUGAGAACUCUACUGGCAAUCCACAGAAUUGAGUUACUGACGCUACCGCCCUAAACACCGAACUUCUCACUGAUUAAUAAAUAUACAUAACUACUAUAUAGCAGCCCUACAUCCACUGUUUUAUUGAUUGAAGAUCCUGCUCCCUAAAACUGGAAGAAUUGUCAUAACUAUUCUUAAUACUAACUUGCCUUGCGGACUCGCUUACCACUUAACUUCUUCCGAUCUUUAUGAUUCUGAACUGGGUGGGUGUGCGACUCACUUGAGACUUCAGCGCCGCUAGUGGGGCAAUAAGCUUAUGCGCAACGAAACAAGUAAGAGAAAAAAGUAUUAGAGAAUAAGCAACAGAACACGUAGACUUCACUCGAACGACAAGAAGGACUUAGGGCUCAAAGAAGGGCUCCAUAAGGGUCGGUUAAGGCUUUCACUUUCGAUUGAGACUGAGAGUCGACAACAACUUUCACUGUCACUGGAACUGUUCCCGCCUCUUAUCCGUAUUCUUUUCUUGCUUCUUAUAACCGAGUGAUAGGGCAGUCAACCAAAUCAAUAGGUUUGUUAGUUGUGUGCCCUACUCGGGUUUGGUGUCAAUCAAUCCAAAAUGGAAAUAGUGGAGCUUUUUUCAAUGGCAAAAAGUAGAGCUGCUUUCAAUGACAAAAAGUAGAGCUGUUUUCAAUGACAAAGCAGAAUGACAUUAUCAAUUUCUAUUAUAGUAUAUUAUAGUUGUGUAGCCUUGUUUGAUAGUGAUAUCGUCCGAAGACUUAGUGAAUGUUAGCUCAUAGAAUGCGAAGUACUUUAGGACCAUCGAUGAUGCCUGGUGGUGGGACCAUAGAUGCACGUACACGAUGGUGAUGGUGAAUUAUCCCCGUU
rnacentral:lncRNA from 1 species